rnacentral:rRNA from 1 species
AGUGAACGCUGGCGGUAGGCCUAACACAUGCAAGUCGAACGGCAGCACAGUAAGAGCUUGCUCUUACGGGUGGCGAGUGGCGGACGGGUGAGGAAUACAUCGGAAUCUACUUUUUCGUGGGGGAUAACGUAGGGAAACUUACGCUAAUACCGCAUACGACCUACGGGUGAAAGCAGGGGAUCUUCGGACCUUGCGCGAUUGAAUGAGCCGAUGUCGGAUUAGCUAGUUGGCGGGGUAAAGGCCCACCAAGGCGACGAUCCGUAGCUGGUCUGAGAGGAUGAUCAGCCACACUGGAACUGAGACACGGUCCAGACUCCGACGGGAGGCAGCAGUGGGGAAUAUUGGACAAUGGGCGCAAGCCUGAUCCAGCCAUACCGCGUGGGUGAAGAAGGCUUUCGGGUUGUAAAGCCCUUUUGUUGGGAAAGAAAAGCAGCAGGUUAAUACCCCGCUGUUCUGACGGUACCCAAAGAAUAAGCACCGGCUAACUUCGUG